rnacentral:rRNA from 1 species
UGAUGCAGCGACGCCGCGUGAGGGAUGACGGCCUUCGGGUUGUAAACCUCUUUCAGCAGGGACGAAGCGAAAGUGACGGUACCUGUAGAAGAAGGACCGGCCAACUACGUGCCAGCAGCCGCGGUAAUACGUAGGGUCCGAGCGUUGUCCGGAAUUACUGGGCGUAAAGAGCUCGUAGGUGGUUUGUCGCGUUGUUCGUGAAAACUCACAGCUCAACUGUGGGCGUGCGGGCGAUACGGGCAGACUUGAGUACUGCAGGGGAGACUGGAAUUCCUGGUGUAGCGGUGGAAUGCGCAGAUAUCAGGAGGAACACCGGUGGCGAAGGCGGGUCUCUGGGCAGUAACUGACGCUGAGGAGCGAAAGCGUGGGGAGCGAACAGGAUUAGAUACCCUGGUAGUCCACGCCGUAAACGGUGGGUACUAGGUGUGGGUUUCCUUCCUUGGGAUCCGUGCCGUAGCUAACGCAUUAAGUACCCCGCCUGGGGAGUACGGCCGCAAGGCUAAAACUCAAAGAAAUUGACGGGGGCCCGCACAAGCGGCGGAGCAUGUGGAUUAAUUCGAUGCAACGCGAAGAACCUUACCUGGGUUUGACAUGCACAGGACGCUGGUAGAGAUAUCAGUUCCCUUGUGGCCUG